rnacentral:rRNA from 1 species
CCGCCGGACCCGACUGCUAUCCGGGUGGGACUAAGCCAUGCAAGUUGAAUGGGAAACCCAAAUUUCCCAUAGCGGACCGCUCAGUAACACGUUAUCAACUUACCCUAUGGAGGAAAAUAACCUCGGGAAACUGAGGAUAAUAUUCCAUAGUUGAGAAUGCCUGGAAUGGUUUCUCAAUUAAAGAACAAUUCAAAUGGGAAUUGUUUCACCGUAGGAUAGGAUUGCGUCCGAUUAUGGCUGUUGGUGGGGUAACGGCCCACCAAACCUAUUAUCGGUAAGGGCCGUGAGAGCGGGAGCCCUGAGAUGGGUACUGAGACAAUGACCCAGGUCUUACGAGACGCAGCAGGCGCGCAACCUUCACAAUGCACGAAAGUGCGAUGAGGUUACCCGGAGUGCCACAUAGUGGCUGUGGCAGGUGAGUAAGAUUCCCUGCUAGGAAGGAGAGGGCAAGGCUGGUGCCAGCCGCCGCGGUAAAACCAGCUCUUCAAGUGGUCGGGACUAUUAUUGGGCUUAAAGUGUCCGUAGCCGGUUUAGUUAGUUCCUGGUUAAAUCGGAUGGCUUAACUAUCUAUCUGCUAGGAAUACUACUAUACUAGGGGGCGGGAGAGGUUUGAGGUACUCCAGGGGUAGGGGUGAAAUCCUAUAAUCCUUGGGGGACCACCAGUGGCGAAAGCGUCAGACUGGAACGCGCCCGACGGUGAGGGACGAAAGCCAGGGGAGCGAACCGGAUUAGAUACCCGGGUAGUCCUGGCUGUAAACGAUGCGUGCUAGUGUUGGUAUGGCUAUGAGCCGUAUCAGUGCCGUAGGAAAC